GAAAAGGCUUUUUAGUUAUUGGCUAAUUACUUGAAACGUCAUCAAGAGUUCAUAUAACUAGACCUGUCUUGGAGCAAUUUUUAUCUUUUGCAAAAUACCUUGAUGGUUUAUCUCAUGGAGUACCUUUGCUGAAGCAGCUUUGUGAUCAUAUUUUGUUUAUUAACCCAGCCAUCUGGAUACAUACACCUGCAAAGGUUCAACUUUCCCUAUAUACAUAUUUGUCUGCUGAAUUUAUUGGAACUGCUACCAUCUACACCACCAUAUGCAGAAUAGGAACAGUUAUUAAAGAUAAUGCACACCUUAAAAUAUUACUACUGGGUUAUUAAUCCUGCUGACAGUAGUGGCAUUACACCUAAAGGAUUAGCCAAAGAUUCCUGAAGACAGAGCUGAUGCCAUGUACUCAAGUGGGUCUCUGCCUCUCAGAGGUGGCCUUGAUCUUCAAGUUUCAGCAAUUCUGGGAAGCCAAGGACACCUCCAUCUCCUCCUCCCUGAUCUGCAACUCAUCUGAGAGCAGCUUUCUCAUUGGAAUGUCUUGUGUUUAAGGAACAAGAAUCCCUGUUUCCGGUUUGGGUGCCCAAGUGCACCUACUGGAUCCAACCCAGGAUUGGAGAUACUUUGCAGAACACAACAUCAUCUGGCACAUGACCAGCCAUGGUGUUUCACUUUCACAAUUUCAGCUUCCUUCACUGAUUGCAGCAUAAUCGUGGUUCAGCAGCCUCCAAGACCAGGGCUGAUGUGGGCGGCUACAGGGAGAAAUUCAAGAGGAAGUUCUUGGUGGUGCCCUCCAUGAGUACAAAGAAGCCUCACAGUCCCCAGGACACCCUUCCGUGCAUGGUGUCACUGACAUCUUUAUUUCUUUUGUCACGUUCUGUAAAUCACAAUGAAUGGGGUAUUCUUCCUCUAUUAUAUAUUUGUUAAGUCUUUUUUGGCAUCUUUAAAAAAAACUGGUAACUUUAUCCUAUGUAAUAU
rnacentral:lncRNA from 1 species